UUGUCUGUCAGCUGCGGGCGAAUUUAGGGGGAAAAAGUAUCGUGACUUCUUCAACCACCAACAUGUUCGUCUCGUCAAGUCUCGAGGAGUUCGUCAGUUUUAGAAGAAUACAUUAUUCCUCCGUUCAUAAGCUACAACAUUGUUAUCUUUGGUGGGAUUGACGGUUUUUCCCGCAAGAUAAUGUAUCUUGGUGCCGCUUCCAACAACUUAGCAUCAACUACCCUGGCUUUCUUCCAAGAAUCUGUUUAGAAGUUUGGGUUUCCUCUCAGGUAAAUUAAUUUUUUUAACUAGGAUUUGUUUUUUACCGAACAAAAUUUUAAAGUACUUGUGCCAUGAUUUUCCCUCUCCUCACCACCUUCUAUUGUGCCCUAUGAGCGGUUUAUAGGCCGACACGUUUUAAUCUAUUUAAAUGAAGUUAUGGAAGUAUAGUAAGAUACUGUAUUAUGAAAACAUAAUUUCAAAAGUUUUGAAGAUUCAUUGGUAAGAAUGUAUGUGAACCUUGAAUAAAAGUUCAGUAAGAGAGACCAAACCACUACUUUUACUGCAAUACUUUAACUAUAUAUAGAUUAGACUACUUAUAGUAGGAUUUUCAUGCUGGACUUAUACUUUAAUGCAGUACUUUUGCAUUGCUGUUUUUUACUUGAGGAUCUGAAUACAUAUUCAACCACUGAGUGCAACACAGUGACCCAGACAACAAACUUUAAAGUCAUUUUUUUCAGUUUUACACAGAUGCUUCAAACCACAAUGGAUGUUGUUAAAGCUUUGAUGUGAGCACUGAUUUAGAGAGGAAACCCUUAAUGGCUGGGCUUCAUUAGCCACUAAAGACUGAGUCAGCAAGAGAAAGAGAAUUACCUCUGCAACCGUACCUCCACAAAUCAAAGAACAAUAAAUCAAAGUAAUAUCUUGUAAUAUAUUGUAUCCUGUGUUUCGAGCUGUUAAAAAGGAAACAAGAUACAAAAGAUUCAGAAUGACUUAGCUACAGUAUUAAGCUUUAAACUAUUUUAGACUCUCAAAGGGUAUUUGAAUUGUCACAUUUCAUUUCAUUCUAAAUAUUUUAUGCUGUUAUUUGUUGUUUGUACACCAGAGUUUUAUGUGAAAGCUGAAAAUUGAAAUUUAUUUUGUAAUACAGCUGAAGAUUUCAAGUCUUUGCAGUAACAGUGAAACCAGUACAGUCAUGUCCACAUAACUCCUAGAUUAAGUAUUUAUUUCAGUGCACAGAUUGUUUACAGUGAACAUCCAUAUCUGUUGCAUAACAGUUAACAUUUUGAACAGCCAACAAACAAAGUUAGAUCAACGUUUAGUACAAAUCUAGUCUCUCACACAAGGCCAAAUCCUGUUUGGCAAGAGCAAAUACAGGCCUAAAUAUCACUUUGAAAAGAUUAAUAAUGCUUGUAAUGCCCUGGGAUGCGCAACAUCUCAAAGCAGGUGGAGGCUGUGGGGUAUCUGCCCAUGACUACCUCUACGGAGGGGCUCGUAGGGAGAAUCUCCCACCCGGUCCAGAAUUUGACCAGAUUGGUCAAUUCAGUUGUUGCUAUGGAGGAGAUGAAAAAACAAUGAAACAAAUCAAAUGACCCAAAAAAUCUAAUUUGACUUUACUAUCAUCAGGAUAAAUAGCAGAGUCUGGCACUAACAGCUUACACUCAAUAGAAGAGAAGACUAACCCGCAAUGUGAAGUUAACGUUGAACAUUUAGUAGCAGCCAAGUAGCCAAAUUAUAUUUUAAUAGCACUUUCAAAUGUAUUUUGUAAACCUACCAUUCACAAUGAACUGUCGAAGAUAGCCUGUCAUGCGGCAUCUGGUGUCACAGCAUCAUUAACCUAAUUCAAAACUAGAAGAAAAUGCGUAGUUCAUGUCCUAUGCAGUCUGUUAAUGUACAAAUGUUAGCUGUCUAUUACUGAACCUUACAGACACAAACCACACUGAUGGCUUAGUUAAACACUCACCGAAGCUCCAUUGUUAACGGACAUGGCUAAAAUCCUAUCAUCAUGCUAGCCGACAGCCGAAGUUGUGUUGGGGCGCUCGCUCCUUUUGCUUUAUUAUUAUUAUUAUUUGCGGUUGAAUUAUUUGCAGUUGA